rnacentral:rRNA from 1 species
AUGACCACACAAAGCUCGCAAUUCCAUUCCGAGCAGCUGCUAUUACCAGUAGUCCUACUCCUUCUUGUAUCUGCGGCAGCUAAUCACAUGCUCAUGGCUGCCGCUGCUGAACAGCAACAUCCGAUGAUCACACAUCCGGGUUGCCGGGAUAAGUGCGGCAACAUCAGCAUCCCCUUCCCAUUCGGCAUCGGGCCUGGCUGCUCCCGCGAGGGCUUCGAGGUAUCGUGCGACGACUCCUCAACCCCCCCUCGGGCCUUCCUCGCAAACGACUUAGCAAAUCAGUAUGUAUGUGAGGGCUCCGCCUCUGAGCUCAUUGGCGACCCACAAAUUAUGAAAAUCCAGGUUUCAUCCUCACUGCCGCUUGAGCUCGUGAGCAUAUCAGUUGCCACGAGCGAGGGUCGUGUAUACGGCGGGAUCUCGUACCUGCGCAACUCAGAUGAUACUAGUGGGCUGUUUAAGGUUCACUCCAUGAAUCUCCAGGCCACCCCAUUUAGCGUGUCGGGACCCCGUAAUGUUCUCAUAGCUGUCGGUGGGAGGGCCGAACCAUUUCUGAUGAUCAAUGAUCGGGAGCGUUCCGCCAAUGGCGUUAACCAUUUCUUCUGCCGUUCAGACAUCCUGCAGGAGGAUUUCGUUGGGCAUGUGACAAACGGGUCAUGCACCGGGCGGGGCUGCUGUGAGACCCCCUUUCCCCCGGAGGACAGAUCCGUCACAGAUCCCCAAAUGAGCUUCGUUGUCGACAACAACACUAUGCCGGUUAUCGACGUCCCAUGCUCGUAUGGCAUGGUGGUGGAGAAGUCAUGGUACAACUUCUCGGCGCCAGACAUGUUUGGUGAAAGGGUGUUUGCUGAAAGACUCCCCGGGGGCGUCCCCUUGGUGCUCGAUUUCGCCAUCGAGGAUGCUUCAUGUCCCGCGGAAGGCCAGGAACCGCCUUCCGACUAUGCAUGUGUCAGCAGCAACAGCUCUUGUGCCAAUACAGCCACUGGCUAUGUGUGCAAGUGUUGGAACAAUUAUGAGGGCAACCCUUACAUCAGCAACGGAUGCCAAGACAUCGACGAAUGCAAGCUCCCCGAGCGGUAUCCCUGCUCGAGUGAUGGGAUCUGCAAGAACAGGCCAGGAGGCUACGAGUGUCCAUGCAAAUUUGGAAUGAAAGGCGACCGCAAAGAAGGAACCUGCACAAGCUUAUUCCCCCUAGCAGCAAAGGGGACUCUGGGUGCAAUAGGUGUUAUUCUUAUCAUGGCAGUCCUAUUAUUCCUUAUUAUUCUUCGCAAAGAGAAAAGGAAGAAUGGAGAGUUUUACAAAAAGAACGGUGGGCCUACAUUAGAGAAGGCAAAUAUCAUAAAGCUUUUCAAAAAGGAGGAGCUCAAACCUAUUUUAAAGAGUAAAAAUCUAAUAGGAAAAGGUGGCUUCGGUGAAGUUUAUAAGGGCCUUCUCGACAAUAAACUGGUUGCAAUAAAGAAGCCAAUUAAUGGUAGUGUGCUAGAGAAUGAACAGUUUGCAAAUGAAGUCAUCAUCCAAUCCCAAGUCAUCCACAAGAACAUUGUUAGGCUGGUCGGUUGUUGCCUAGAAGUUGAUACCCCCAUGCUGGUCAAUGAGUUUAUCUCCAAUGGUAGCCUUCAUGACAUUCUUCACAACAAUAAGGAAAAGGUUGCUCUCAGCUUGGAUACACGGCUAAGUAUUGCUGCACAGUCAGCAGAUGGCCUAGCUUAUAUGCAUUCCAAGACCAAUAUUAAAAUUCUACAUGGUGAUGUUAAACCAGCAAAUAUACUCUUGGAUGAUAACUUUGUACCAAAGGUUUCAGAUUUUGGCAUAUCUAGGUUGCUUGCGAGAGACAAGGAACACACAGGAUCAGUCAUUGGCGACAUGAAUUAUAUGGACCCAAUAUAUCUUCAAGAAGGCCUACUCACACAAAAAAAUGAUGUCUACAGUUUUGGUGUUAUGAUCUUAGAGCUCAUAAGCAGGAGGAGAGCCAUGCAUUCUGACAAUAGUAGCUUGGUAAAGAAUUUUCUUGAGGCUCUUAAGAAGCAAAAGAAAUCAAGCGAGUUUUUUGACAAGGAAAUUGCAAUAACAGAAGAUUUGGAGCUUCUUGAUUGCCUCGCAGGCAUGGCCAUGGAAUGUCUUAGCCUUGAUGUGGAUCAAAGACCAACUAUGAUGGAGGUGGCCGAGCGGCUCCUCAUACUGAUUCGAUAUCGUGAGGUGUAA